CGGAUUCUGCGGUGUUCGUUAGUGACCCUUAUACCCCUUGAGCCUUAGAUCCUUAGCUCGGGGCAGAGGUCUCGGGCGCCAUGUGCAUGACCGCGCCGGGCAUUGCCCUCCAAGCGGUAAGCCUACGGCUCCGUUCCGAAACCCCACUUGAACCGUCCGGUUCAAGGGCUGAGGUAGCACGACGGCACACGCGGAUUCCGC
rnacentral:other from 1 species